CCGGACACCGUGGCGUGUGUGUGCGUCUGUUAGUGCAUGCAUUGGAAGAGGUCAAGACAGUUCGUGUUGUUAGUGGCCGAGAGCAGCGGCCGGCUAUGUGUGCGUGCGUGGAGUUAGUGGCUUCUGGUCGUGUGCGUGUGUGGGCUUAUAUAAGGCACCCUAAACAUCAUGUUAGGGGCGGGGCCGGGUGUAAGCUAUGUAGCCAUUGUAAAGAAGAAAAGAUUGGGGCGUUUGAGCGCCCGUGGCGGCGUUCGUCGCCGGCC
rnacentral:lncRNA from 1 species